UACGUACGGGGCAAGCGUUAUCCGGAAUUACUGGGUGUAAAGGGAGCGUAGACGGUAAUGUAAGUCUGGAGUGAAAGGCGGGGGCCCAACCCCCGGACUGCUCUGGAAACUAUGUUACUAGAGUGCAGGAGAGGUAAGCGGAAUUCCUAGUGUAGCGGUGAAAUGCGUAGAUAUUAGGAGGAACACCAGUGGCGAAGGCGGCUUACUGGACUGUAACUGACGUUGAGGCUCGAAAGCGUGGGGAGCAAACAGG
rnacentral:rRNA from 1 species